rnacentral:rRNA from 1 species
UACGUAGGGGGCGAGCGUUGUCCGGAUUUAUUGGGCGUAAAGAGCUCGUAGGCGGCUUGGCAAGUCGGGUGUGAAACCUCCAGGCUCAACCUGGAGACGCCACUCGAUACUGCUAUGGCUAGAGUCCGGUAGGGGACCACGGAAUUCCUGGUGUAGCGGUGAAAUGCGCAGAUAUCAGGAGGAACACCGGUGGCGAAGGCGGUGGUCUGGGCCGGCACUGACGCUGAGGAGCGAAAGCGUGGGUAGCAAACAGGAUUAGAUACCGGGUAGUCC